CAGCCGCCGCGGUAAUACGGAGGGCGCGAGCGUUACCCGGAUUUACUGGGCGUAAAGGGCGUGUAGGCGGCCUGGGGCGUCCCAUGUGAAGGGCCACGGCUCAACCGUGGAGGAGCGUGGGAUACGCUCAGGCUAGAGGGUGGGAGAGGGUGGUGGAAUUCCCGGAGUAGCGGUGAAAUGCGCAGAUACCGGGAGGAACGCCGAUGGCGAAGGCAGCCACCUGGUCCACUUCUGACGCUGAGGCGCGAAAGCGUGGGGAGCAAACAGGAUUAGAUACCCCUGUAGUCCCUGUCUCUUAUAC
rnacentral:rRNA from 1 species